AAACCAAACCAUUGACCACAAAUCGAGAAACUAAACCAAAACAGAGGUUAACCAAACCAAUCAAUUGGUAUAUGGUCAUCAUUCUCUAAAAUCAAUGGUAAAGCAAAUGGGAUCAAAAUGUAUAAAAAUAAGAUUAUUUAUAAAUACGUAUCCUCAAAACCAUUUUCAACUUUCAAUCACAACAUAUUAUAAAUUUGUAAUUUAA
rnacentral:misc_RNA from 1 species